CUUUACCGUUAACCAUUCCCGUCACAGCAGUCACGCUAUAGCUAUCAACAUCGCAAACUUCCGGCUGAUAGACAGGUUGUAAUGUCGAUUCACGGAGCGUAUCAGACUUAUACCCUUGUAAAUUGCGGUUCUGCGUAUUUAGCCCAAAAGGCUCAAAUGCGAUAACCUGCUGUGACAUCGCCCCGGCCUUAUUUUUCAGCGCCAGUGAGACGCGUAAAUUCUCUAUACUGCUGAUUCUGUCCGUUUUGACGACAAACUCCAGCUCGCAUGCAUAGCCGCUGCCCUGGCUCGCACCGAAAACACGAUCACGAUUGAAGGUUAACUUCGGCAAAUUCUUUUCACGCAUUGCCACAGCCUCAGCGCGGGCCUGUCGGUCUUUUUCGCAGGUCACCUGAAAAUGGGGAUCGUCUGCAAAACUUGCUCGCCCCUGAGCAAACAACUCCGCUGCCUUCCGGCAGUCCGUGUCGACAAACUGACCGUUGGUAUACAUCCAGGC
rnacentral:misc_RNA from 1 species